AUUUCCUUUUCCGCCUCCUUCACCCUAUCUUCUUCUCCUUCAAUUGAAACCCUAACACACUCACCCCAUCUUCUUCUUCGACUGAAACCCUAUCAAAGUAAAUUUCAUCACUUUCUUCUUGUGCUCCUCUCGGCCGGUCUCCAUCUCUAACCUAAAUUAAGAAAGAUGAGGCUAUAAUCCCGUAUGAUUCACCUUACCAGAACGCUGCUCUUUUCUCCAUCUUCUUCAUCUCCCUCCUCCAAAUCAGAGAAACAAAACCAUAAUCCAUAUACCCAUAAUCAAUACUCUAAUUUUAUUGGAAAUAGAUACUGAACCCAGUAGAUCUGAUGUUCUCUUAAGAUUUGGAUCAAAAUUAGAGUUUUGAUUUGGGGUUUUUGUUAGGGUUUCUUUUGAUUUAAUAGAAAAUGCUUUACGUUUGGUGAAGUUACAAAUUGAAAUGCUGCAGACCCCAAUCUGGAUGAGCGAAACUGUACCGAUUUGAUAAAGAUGGAAAUAAUUGUUCUUCCUACAAUUUUGGUUCAACAACAUACUGGGAAUGGGAGUCAGAUAUCAUGGUUCGUGCAUGCUACUGAUUUGUCUGAUGGUGAAUUGAAAGAAGAGGUGUUUUGUGUUCGAUUUGUAUACAUGGAGGGUUUCUGGGCAUUUUCCAAACCUGGAGGUCUAUGAUGUGAGAGUGCGCUUGGUGGAAUUGGUGGCUAUUCUAGCAGGGUGUAUAGGAGACUUUGGUGUUCUAUCUAUAAUGUAGUUGGAUGUUUUAAUGGAAUGUGAAAGGCGAUAUAACCUUACUGUUUAUGGCAACCAUUUCCGCAGAGUAUGGGAUGUGGAUUUGAAGCAUGACUUCGCCUUUGUUAAUUUUUUGUUGAUGAAAACUCGCAAUUGAAGGCCAUUGAUUUUGGCUUGUCCGAUUUUGUGAAACCAGAUAAAAGACUUAAUGACAUCGUUGGAAGUGCAUACUAUGUUGCAUCUGAAGUUCUACAUAGAUCUUACAAUACAGAGGCUGAUGUGUGGAGUAUUGGUGUGAUAUCAUAUAUACUUUUAUGUGGAAGUUGUCCGUUCUUGGCUCGCACAGAGUCCGAGAUUUUUCGGGCCUUAAGGGCGGACUCGAUGAACCUCCUUGGCCUUCUUUAUCUUCUGAAACCAAGCAUUUUGUCAAGCGUCUAUUGAAUAAAGACCCAAAUGAACGAGUGAUGGAUGCUGAGGCAUUAAGUCAUCCUUGGAUUAGUAACUACAAUGAUAUUCAAGCUCAUGAAAGCCUAUAUGCGCUCAUCAUCUCUACAUAAAGCGGCGUUAAGAGGAAAGAAGAGACUUGCCGAAGUUGCUAACAAUAAGCCCACUCUUGGACAAAAAUGUUAAAGUAGAAACUCCUCAGAAGUUAGGUGCUGAUGGCAAGAAAGGUGGUGAUGUUCGUCGUUUGCAGGCCUGUGUUUCAGGUUCAGUUGUUGUAUUGCAGGCCUGUGUUUCAGGUUCAGUUGUUGUAUUGCAGGCCUGUGUUUCUGGUUUAAUUGUGCAGGCCUGAAGGCCAGGUCCAUGAUAAUGACCUGGACUAUCCAUUUUUUAUUACAAUUAUUGUCACAGGGCUAACUGUGACGAAAACUGUGAAAAAAACAACACGCGUCAUCACAUUAAUGCUGUUACCACAGUUUAAACGUUACAGUAAUUGUGACAAAAAGACAACAGGUGUCCAUUGGGAAAUUGUUGCAAAAAGUAGGAAACACUUAUAUGUGUUGCUGUAACCGAAAGAAAAAGUGACACGUGGCAAAACUUAAUAGUUGCCUACCUGGCGGUGUAAGACACGUGUCAUCACCUAAUUGUUGCAAAGUUUGAAUAACAAUUAAAUAUGUUAUAUUAA